rnacentral:rRNA from 1 species
AUUGAACGCUGGCGGCAUGCUUUACACAUGCAAGUCGAACGGCAGCACGGGCUUCGGCCUGGUGGCGAGUGGCGAACGGGUGAGUAAUACAUCGGAACGUACCCAGAAGUGGGGGAUAACGUAGCGAAAGUUACGCUAAUACCGCAUACGUUCUACGGAAGAAAGUGGGGGAUCGCAAGACCUCAUGCUUUUGGAGCGGCCGAUGUCUGAUUAGCUAGUUGGUGAGGUAAGGGCUCACCAAGGCGACGAUCAGUAGCUGGUCUGAGAGGACGACCAGCCACACUGGAACUGAGACACGGUCCAGACUCCUACGGGAGGCAGCAGUGGGGAAUUUUGGACAAUGGGCGCAAGCCUGAUCCAGCAAUGCCGCGUGAGUGAAGAAGGCCUUCGGGUUGUAAAGCUCUUUUGUCAGGGAAGAAACGGUAGAGGCUAAUAUCCUUUGCUAAUGACGGUACCUGAAGAAUAAGCACCGGCUAACUACGUGCCAGCCGCCGCCGUAACAC